AGUGAACGCUGGCGGUAGGCCUAACACAUGCAAGUCGAACGGCAGCACAGUGAGAGCUUGCUCUUACGGGUGGCGAGUGGCGGACGGGUGAGGAAUACAUCGGAAUCUACUUUUUCGUGGGGGAUAACGUAGGGAAACUUACGCUAAUACCGCAUACGACCUACGGGUGAAAGCAGGGGAUCUUCGGACCUUGCGCGAUUGAAUGAGCCGAUGUCGGAUUAGCUAGUUGGCGGGGUAAAGGCCCACCAAGGCGACGAUCCGUAGCUGGUCUGAGAGGGUGAUCAGCCACACUGGAACUGAGACACGGUCCAUACUCCUACGGGAGGCAGCAGUGGGGAAUAUUGGACAAUGGGCGCAAGCCUGAUCCAGCCAUACCGCGUGGGUGAAGAAGGCCUUCGGGUUGUAAAGCCCUUUUGUUGGGAAAGAAAAGCAGCAGGUUAAUACCCCGCUGUUCUGACGGUACCCAAAGAAUAAGCACCGGCUAACUUCGUG
rnacentral:rRNA from 1 species